CCGCUAUCGGGGUAGGGCUAAGCCAUGGGAGUCUUACACUCCCGGGAAGAGGGCGUGGCGGACGGCUGAGUAACACGUGGCUAACCUAACCUUGGGUCUCGGAUAACCCCGGGAAACUGGGGCUAAUCCGGGGCAGAUAAGGAGAUCUGGAACGACUCCUUAUCUAAAGGCUUCUCGGCUGCUCCCGUCGAGAGGUGCCCAAGGAUGGGACUGCGGCCCAUCAGGCUGUUGGGGGAGUAAAGGUCCCCCAAACCUAUAACGGGUAGGGGCCGUGGGAGCGGGAGCCCCCAGUUGGGCACUGAGACAAGGGCCCAGGCCCUACGGGGCGCACCAGGCGCGGAACGUCCCCAAUGCGGGAAACCGUGAGGGCGUUACCCCUAGUGCCCUCGCAAGAGGGCUUUUCUCCACUCCAGAAAGGUGGAGGAAUAAGCGGGGGGCAAGACUGGUGUCAGCCGCCGCGGUAAAACCAGC
rnacentral:rRNA from 1 species